UACGUAGGGUGCGAGCGUUGUCCGGAAUUAUUGGGCGUAAAGAGCUCGUAGGCGGCCUGUUGCGUCCGCUGUGAAAGCCCGGGGCUUAACCCCGGGUCGCAGUGGAUACGGGCAGGCUAGAGGUAGGUAGGGGAGAAUGGAAUUCCCGGUGUAGCGGUGAAAAUGCGCAGAUAUCAGGAGGAACACCAAUAGCGAAGGCAGCUCGCUGGGACGCACUGAGCUGAGGCGCGAAAGCGUGGGGAGCGAACAGG
rnacentral:rRNA from 1 species